rnacentral:rRNA from 1 species
GCCGAACGCUGGCGGCGUGCCUAACACAUGCAAGUCGAACGGAGUUAAGACUUCGGUUUUAACUUAGUGGCGAACGGGUGAGUAACGCGUGAGAAACCUGCCUUUCAGUGGGGGACAACAGUUGGAAACGACUGCUAAUACCGCAUAAUGUCAUUUGGGGGCAUCCCUGAAUGACCAAAGAUUUAUUGCUGAAAGAUGGUCUCGCGUCUGAUUAGCUAGAUGGCGGGGUAACGGCCCACCAUGGCGACGAUCAGUAGCCGGUCUGAGAGGAUGAAAGGCCACAUUGGGACUGAGAUACGGCCCAGACUCCUACGGGAGGCAGCAGUUGGGAAUAUUGGGCAAUGGGGGAAACCCUGACCCAGCAACGCCGCGUGAAGGAAGAAGGCCUUCGGGUUGUAAACUUCUUUUACCAGGGACGAACAAAUGACGGUACCUGGAGAAAAAGCAACGGCUAACUACGUGCCAGCAGCCGCGGUAAGAC